CACAUAAACGCAGGCACACACACACUCUCACUCUCUCUCUGUUUGUCCCUCUUUCAAUUUGUUUUGCCUAUUUCUAUUUGCAUUCUUCAUUCUUUCAAUAUGGCAUCUUCAGGUUUUGACCAGUUAUGUCAGGAAGCUGCAGCUAUUUCAAAGCAUCUUGAAAUGAAAGCUGACAAUGCUGAACUUGAAGCAGCUACCAGAGAGGCUGAAGAAAUUCUACAAAUGUUCAAUCCUCCACUGCUGAAAAAGAAGACCAAACGAGCGAUUUCCUGGACUCAACAGACACAGUGAACUUUGCACUGCAUUUCAAAGCCAGCUCCUCAGCCGCAACACUGAAAACCAGAGUUGAGGUCAAUGUACUGCUGAGAAAAGUGCAAGAUCUGUUUAACCAAAAAUAUAAGGAUGCCGGAGGUACUGGAAGGCUCCCCUACCAAUCCCUGGUAAAUUAAGGCAUGACAGUUAAAGUUGCAGGACUGCCCAACAGCCUCAAAAAGUCAUCCUAUUAUGGAAGGAACCAGUUGGAGGCCAUUUUGCAAGCUGCUGAGGAGAUUUCAUUUGAAAUCAAGCUGGAAGAACAGUCCUCAGAAACAGCCACUACUGUAGCUAUCGUGAUGACUGCAGAUUAAGAUGGAGGCCAUUUGUGCUGUGUCUGCCGCGUCCUUUUCGAUGACAGGAAGAAGAAUGCUUCAGAGAAGUGGCGUUCAUGGUCACAGUGUGCCAAUCAUGGUCACACACUGCAUGUCAAGACACCAUACAAACAGCCUGUAGCGCUGCAUCAGUGAUAGGAAACAUGCUGGUUACACAAGAUGUUUUAUGUUUUAACUUUGAGUUGUUUUUACUUUGUUCAUGACCCCAUCCCUACAAACACAGACACAUAUUUUUUUUACUUUUAUGUAUUGGAUGCAAUUUAAUAUUUUUCAUGCAAAUGUAUUGUAAUGAUUACACUUAUAAGAAUAAAACAGAUUUUUAAUUCACUCUAAUUUGUAUUUAUUGUUGUCAUUUGUUGGCACCAUAAGUGUGGUCCCUUUACCUGGGACAUGUGGGGACCAAUUAAUAUCUAUUGUACUGAAUUUAGGCCACAGGUUGUAAAUGAUAAGUAGCCUAUUGUUUCAUCUUUUAUCAAUGGUUCGGUAUGGUUGGGUGUUGGCAAGGACCUCACCAUACUUUUCAAUACAGUGAGUCAAAGUUUGAUUUAAUGUUAUGAUUAAAUACUUUACAUAACUUUAACAACUUUUUCGCAGUCUUGCUGUCACUGAGAGGUAUUUGGCAAAUUUGAUAUCGAAAAGUUGGUUUAUGUCAGAGCAGUAGUGAUACUUGUGUUGAUAUACAACUGAACAGUACAAUUUAAAUAUAAUGGUUGCUAUGAACGAUGAUGAUGAUGUUAUGUGUAUCUGCUUUAUCAAAGUGAUUUUCCUCCAUCAUACAGAUGAAGUUGAAGCAAAUCUCUAUUACCACAUUUAAUGUUAUGAAAAGAACCAUCAUGACAGAAAUAUAUAUUUAUAUAUGAAUUGAAAGUAAUACAAAAAAUAAAAAAUAAGACCAGAAACC